AAAAUUCCUUUGUGCCUUGGUUCUCAGUGCUGUGGCUUCGGACCCACCUUAACCCUCAUGACAAACUGCCACCUGAAUAAAAUUAGUUAAGGGUCAGAGGUUGAAGGCGGCCAAGCGCUGACCUCCCGGCGAAAGGCCAGCGCUGACAUUUGACCCGUCGGUGGAUGCGCGGCUGACCCCCAGGAGGAUGUAGGCUACGGAUCGACAAAGGGGAGGCACGUGCCCUGGUCAAGUCGCCAUGUCUAUA
rnacentral:lncRNA from 1 species